rnacentral:rRNA from 1 species
GACGAACCGAGCGAACGUUGUUCGGAAUCACUGGGCUUAAAGGGCGUGUAGGCGGAUUGUCAAGUCCGGGGUGAAAUCCCACAGCUCAACUGUGGAACUGCCUCGGAUACUGGGAGUCUCGAGGGUGGUAGGGGUAUGCGGAACUAUCGGUGGAGCGGUGAAAUGCGUUGAUAUCGAUAGGAACUCCGGUGGCGAAGGCGGCAUACUGGACCACAUCUGACGCUGAGGCGCGAAAGCCAGGGGAGCAAACGGGAUUAGAUACCCGUGUAGU